UACGUAGGGGGCAAGCGUUGUUCGGAAUUACUGGGCGUAAAGGGCUCGUAGGCGGUUUGUCGCGUCGGGAGUGAAAACCAGGUGCUUAACACCUGGCUUGCUUUCGAUACGGGCAGACUAGAGGUAUGCAGGGGAGAACGGAAUUCCUGGUGUAGCGGUGAAAUGCGCAGAUAUCAGGAGGAACACCGGUGGCGAAGGCGGUUCUCUGGGCAUGACCUGACGCUGAGGAGCGAAAGUGUGGGGAGCGAACAGG
rnacentral:rRNA from 1 species